UAGGGAAUUUUCCACAAUGGACGAAAGUCUGAUGGAGCAACGCCGCGUGCAGGAUGAAUGCCUUCGGGUUGUAAACUGCUUUUAUCUGUGACGAUUAUGACGGUAGCAGAUGAAUAAGGAUCGGCUAACUCCGUGCCAGCAGCCGCGGUCAUACGGAGGAUCCAAGCGUUAUCCGGAAUUACUGGGCGUAAAGAGUUGCGUAGGCGGCAUAGUAAGUCUGUAGUGAAAGCAUGGGGCUCAACCUCAUAAACAUUAUGGAAACUACUAAGCUAGAGAAUGGGAGAGGUCACUGGAAUUCCUUGUGUAGGAGUGAAAUCCGUAGAUAUAAGGAGGAACACCGAUGGCGUAGGCAGGUGACUGGCCCAUUUCUGACGCUCAGGCACGAAAGCGUGGGGAGCGACCGGG
rnacentral:rRNA from 1 species